UUUCAUAACCAACACUCAGGUGUAGCAUUUGCUACGAAAAGGGGAACUUGGUGCAAAUCCAAGGCGGUCCCGCCACUGUGACGUAAUACUAUUUACGGAGUCAGAUUACCUGCCUGAUUGUUCUGCUUAGC
rnacentral:ncRNA from 2 species